AGUGAACGCUGGCGGUAGGCCUAACACAUGCAAGUCGAACGGCAGCACAGUAAGAGCUUGCUCUUACGGGUGGCGAGUGGCGGACGGGUGAGGAAUACAUCGGAAUCUACUUUUUCGUGGGGGACAACGUAGGGAAACUUACGCUAAUACCGCAUACGAUCUACGGGUGAAAGUAGGUGAUCUUCGGACCUUGCGCGUUUGAAUGAGCCGAUGUCGGAUUAGCUAGUUGGCGGGGUAAAGGCCCACCAAGGCGACGAUCCGUAGCUGGUCUGAGAGGAUGAUCAGCCACACUGGAACUGAGACACGGUCCAGACUCCUACGGGAGGCAGCAGUGGGGAAUAUUGGAUAAUGGGCGCAAGCCUGAUCCAGCCAUACCGCGUGGGUGAAGAAGGCCUUCGGGUUGUAAAGCCCUUUUGUUGGGAAAGAAAAGCAGCAGGUUAAUACCCCGCUGUUCUGACGGUACCCAAAGAAUAAGCACCAGCUAACUUCGUG
rnacentral:rRNA from 1 species